UUGUCACUGGGUCAGUGACACUAAAAUAAAAUGUAAAGAAAGGUAAAAAACAUAGCUAAAAGAGAAUGUGUUGGUCACCUGUGGAAGUGAGGGAUUUGAGAAUUCAGAGAGGACAUUGGCAGAGUCCCUGAAAACUCUGCCCAAGGAGAGGUGUUGAACACAACAGUUUCACCUGUGACUUUUCAUUGUGGAGAAGAACAAAUCUGACCGAGUUGAUCUAGGGACAUUAGAGCCAUCAAUGUCCUAACACCAUGUUCUAAUCUCAUACUGCUGAGACUACCUUCCAAUUAUAAACUGGCUCCCCAAGGAUUCUACCUACAGAGAUAAAAUGUGCUGAAUUGAAGAACUGAAUUGGAAAGUUCCUUCAAAGGGGGGAAAAAGAUUUUUGCAUUCAACGUUUAUUCAUUAGUAUCAUGAGUUGUUUAAUAAUGAAUGUGUCCUUAAGAGAUGGAGAUGGUCUUAGAAUGCCAAGAGAUAAGGGAUUUUUUCUUUUUAAGUUCUUAAAGAUUAGGCACUUUUUAUGAAAACUCAUUGAAUUAAAGCUGUUCUUUGAGGUCUCUUGGAUUAUUUUCUUGAGGAGCUGUCCAGGAGGCAAUGCUUUUCAGUUGGAAGGAGUUGAUGAACAGUGUGAAACAUGUUCAGGGUGUGCUGGCAUUAAUGGGCAAAGGAGUAUGAGAGUUUAGAUAUACUGAGGUAAAACAGGGAAGAAGGAGUGGAGGAGUGAAGUUUUGAGAGAAAAGGAGGCUGGAAGGGUAAGUUGAGGCUGGAGAAUAAAUGCCUGUCAAGGAAAGGAUUAUAGACAACAGAGAAAUCUUUCAGAUCAGUUUAUGCUGAGAAAUGGUAUGACCAAUAUUUGUUAUCUAUUGUUCGAUAACAACAGCAUUAAAAUGUAUGGGUUUCAAACAGUAACCAAAAAUACCGGGAGAUGUGAUUUAUUAAGAUCAUCAAAGUGUACCAUUAUGAGCAGUCUUGUGGUUUGGAAAAAAAAAAAAUCUGGUUGUAGGAUAGAAUAUAUAGUGGAUCUGAGACCUGAGAAUAAAAGAUCAGUUAAAAAACACAUGUGGAGGGGUGCCUGGGUGGCUCAGUCAGUUAAGCAUCUGACUUCAGCUCAGGUCAUGAUCUUGAGGUUUGUGGGUUCGAGCUCUGUGUCAGGCUCUGUGCUGACAACUCAAAGCCUAGAGUCUGCUUCAGAUUCUGUAUCUCCAUCUCUCUGUCUGCCCCUACCCCCCCUCUCCAAAAUCAAUAAACAUAAAAAAAAAAAAACCACAUGUGGUACAGGCAGGAAUCUACAUAAAAAUUCUAAACCUGCACUGACAACCAUAUUCCUCAGAGAAUCUUAUGAGAUGAGGAAAGAAAUAAUAGGAAUAUAUUUCUUUUGACCUUUAGUAAUCAAAAGUCCCCCCUUUUCUAACCCUUAGAAGUAUAGGGAAUCAGGGUUAUAAAGAGAACUAGAUAAAACUGAACAAUACAUCUUACCAAAGGACUCUUAAAAUUUUUCCAAAAUACUGGUGGUUUCAUUUAUUGCUUAUUUGCCACUUUGCUUCACCCUUGCCACAUUUUUUUUCCUCCCUGUAGCCUAACCCACUAAGUUUUCUACCUCACUCCCACUUGAGCCAAGAGAGUACAUUCUGACAUCAAGUCUGAGAAAUUCUUUAAAAGUAGACAGGAGGUAUGAAGAAUGAUUACAAUGGUAUUUCCUUCAGCAGUUUCACAGCCAGUGUUACCUGUGAACCUUUUUUAGUAAUCAAUGACUAUUCCUGGUGAAAAUUAAUUUAUAGUCUUCUAAAGCUUUAUGUGAAAGUUCUGCUAAGUCAUGAGUGAGUAGAAAGUGCUCAGGACUGAACAAAUUCAAACCCAGCUCUGCUAAUAAGUAGCUUAGGAAUUUGUGUCUGCUUACCUUCUCUGGCCAAGUAGUAGCUGUCUUCAUCUACAGAAUAAGUGGGUUGGACUUGAUGAUGUCUAAAAUAUCUUCCAGCUCUCUUAUCUCUCAUAAGUAUUGACAGGCCUUGGACAUCUAAGUACUAUCUUGGCCACAUGUUCAUUUCAUGUAUUUUGAUUCAUUUUCCUUUUAAUGUAAGAUACUUAGUUUGUUGGUAUUAGAAUCAACAAAGUCCAGAUUUCAUAGGCUAAUCAGGACAGAAACCAGAAAUCAGAAAGAACUGAAAAUCUCAUAAGAAGCUCAGAUUAAUGUCAAAGAUGCUGUGGUUACCCACAAUCAAGGAAGAUUUUGCAUAAAUACAGGAAAGGCCAAGAUUUACAGAAUUUGGAAUCCUUGCCAUUAUCCCAAAUACAUUUUCCAUAAUAAAUCUGUUGUAUUAACGAAUGAUAACACUUUACAUUUGUGUCAUGUACAGUAUGUUAUAGAUGUUACUUGCUUUAGAAGUUUAAUUCACUUACGUUUACAUAUACUAGGAAAAAAAUCAGAAGAGGUCUUAAUAUAGGUGUGGAGAGAACCAAGUUUUGACAUGGAUGAAACAUAAGGUGUGUGAUAAACAAUAUAUGUAUUCACAUGUUCAUUUAUUCCUUCAUUCAUCACAAAUCUUUGGAAUGCUUACUAUAUGCCAGGCAGUGUGUUAAGUGCUAUGAAUAGGGAGAUGAUUCAGUUCCUGCCUUCACAGUAAUAACAUUUCAGAAAGAAAAACUGCCAAAUCAUAUAACGUGUUAUGAGAUACCUAGAUAAAGAACACCUAAUUGGGACCUGGUAUGUUGAGAAAGCUUCCUGGAAACAUUACAUCUCCCCUGAGGCAAACUGGUGUACAAUACAGUGUUUCAGGCAGAGAAGAAAUCAUACAAAAGUCUAAAAGCCAAAGAUAGGAUAGGGAACUGGAUAGAUUUCAGCCUAAGCUGAGUAUAGCGUAGAAUGAGGGGAUAGUUAUGUAGAAUUAGGCUGGAGAUAGGAAUACCCUGAAGGAUAUGGUUAGUCAUGAUAGGGACACUUAAUUUCAUCCUGAAGGCAAUGAGAAGCCAUUGGACGUAAAUGGACAUUGACCGGAUUUAGAAUAUUUGCUGUUGCUGGGGUGUAGAUUAUAGAAUGGAAAUCAGAUAAUAUUUGAAAGAGUCAGAGGCAACAUUGUUAAAAAGGAAGGACUAUAAUAAGUUGAGGUGGUUCAAUACAGGGUUGUGACAAGUAGUAUUCAAAAGAAGUGAAAGAAUUUGAGUCCUCAGAGGACCUAGGAUUAACAGGAUUUGGUGAUGGAUUUGAUGUGGAGAGAAAUAAAAAGUUGGCAGGUUGGAUGUGCAAUUCCUCAUCUUAAGCACUUGGGUUGGUGGUAGUUAACAUGAGCUAUAGUUCUCAGAGAAAGGAGCAAAGUGGGACUGGUAGAUGAGAACAGGGUAGUUUUUAGAAGUGUUAAGUCUUCAGAGUUUGUGUGACCCCUGAGAGGAAAUAUCGUCAGCUGGAUGUGGUAGUUUUAGGAAUCGGGGAGAGUUUUGAGCUGACAGAAUAAAAUUAGUAAGUCUCCAACAUAAAUACAAUAAUGAGAAGGGCACUGAGUGCUCAUUUAGAACAUAUUAUGACGUAGUAGCUAUUUAAAUACUUUACGCAUACUAAGUCUGUAAUUCUCACAAUAACCCUUUCAUGUAGAUGCUAAUUAAUGUCAUUCCCAUUUUAUAGAUAAGAAACAAAGGCAAGGAGAGGACAGUAAGUGACAGAGCCAGGACUGAAUCCAAACAGCUUGGUCCCAGUGUCAGCAGUCUUAACCACUAAGGAGUGUGUAUGAUUCCGCCCUAACAGAUGAAGAAGCAGAAGGUCCAAGACAACUCAGUUUUAAGAAAAGCUCUGCUCCUCUUCAAGAUCUGAUAUGCCAUUUUAAAACUUAUGAUAAUAAGAACAAUUGAUUUCGCUUCUUCUUCCCAAGUUUAAGAAAAGUGUAGAGUGAUGACCUCAUAACCUCCAAGUCCUGGCUGACUGUAUUCAGGUGAAAACAGACACUCGUGGUAAAUGUCCUCUAACCCAGGAUCUGCCUUUUCUUGAGGCCUAAGUCUGUAUAAUUGACUUGAUGUGAUGCUUCUGGGCAAAUAGUGAGGCUCCAUGGUUAUGUCUGGAGAUUGGGGCUUUGCACCACCAAGUUUCAGAGGAGUUUCCUAUCUUCUUGACAACAUAACUAUAUGUGGUUAAAUGUUAACUAAAAGAUACAUCACAUUUUUAAAAUUAUUAUUCUCCAUGAGGUAGACUGGUUUUGAUAUAUACAUAUUAGCUUCCUGUCUAAAUAAUUAAAUGUAUAAUUCCCUCACUUCAUUGCAAGUGGAACUGGAUUGAGGAUUGCUAAGUAAAACAUGCUGAAAUGAUAGGACCAGUAUCACUCAUCAUCUCUAUGGUUAUGUUAGUGAAUUUAUAUGUUGGAAAUGUCUGGUUCUCUUUGAUCCCUCUCUGUAGGGAGGGUUCUUCAGUUAUCAGGAUGGAGGAGUCAUUAAAUCCUCCCUAAUCACUUCCAUGAUGCUGUCUCUUCUCCGGAGAAGCUGAGUGGCAAGCUCUUAGAUUGAUCUGUCUGACUGCUUUGUAAGCGGCCACCUGGAGGGCUGGUCACAGGCUCAUGUAGGAAUCCAUCUACUGCCAAGUGCAAGAAAAGGGAAUCACCUCUAAAGAUUCUCAAGUGCUAAUGUAGAGGAAUAGAGGUGGGAAAGGAAGGUUUAUUUUUAAUAUUAAUAGGUGUAAACCUGAAAAGCUACUGUGACCUACUAUAAUCAAGUAGCCUUCAAGGUGUAAGGAGUUUGGAAUGAUGUAGUAUCUAGUGUUUUGGGGACAUUAUUUAAAAUCUGUCUAUAGAUAUUUCAGGGUCACAUGUCCUUUGCUUAUCUCAUGCAUUUGAAAAAAAAAGAAUGAAUUGCCAUAAUAUCUCUUUGCCCAGUGAUUUUUGCUGGACUCUAGUUUCUUAAAUAUAAUAAUUGAAAGGUAAGGAAGUUUAUGUAACUAUGAGGUGUAAUACUUUUUAAAGGAACAGAAAGAUUUUAUAUGGAAUACUAUCAGCGAAAAAAAGGAAUAAUCACUGUCAGAGACACAGCUACAACAUUGAUCAUAGAGUUGGGGAAGAUCACAAGAAACCAGGCUUAAUUCCUACCUUGCCUACAGUGUAACUGUGACCACUUGAACAAGUCACUUGACCCGCUAAGACCAGUGCUGUCCAACCUAACUUCCAGCAACAAAUUCAAGCUUUAGAUGCAGUUUGCUUAUGGAAAAAUAGGAAAAAAAAAUACCUUCUCACAAAAAUUUCUUUUAUACUUAAAUAAGAUAAUAUACAUCUUAACAUAUUUAGAAUGAAAAUACACUAAACAUAAAGGCCAAGCUAGUGGAGAUGUUCUUGUAGUGGGGCAAAUCUGUAACUAUAGGACAUAGCAUCUUGCCAGUUAAUAAAAAUUAACAUCUAUCAUUGGUUACCCUUUUCUUCUGGUGGCAGCCCCCUGGAUUUUUCAUUCAUGCUUUUCCGUGAACAAGGAGUGCUAUAUGAUCCAAACCCUGAUCAUCUACACCUGGAGUUUGAAUUUAGGGAAGAAAGGUCCAGAAAGGAACAUAGAUGGAAGGAUCUCAUUCCAAUGGAGCAUUCCAGAAGAAACUAUCCGUUUACGCCCACUGCCUGUUUCCCUGGACCAUCACUGGUUGCUGUCCUUCCUGAGGCCUCGUGACUCAGUUUUUCCUUUGAUUCUUCAAGAGUCCCUAGCUUCUCCAUAAAUUCCCCUCUUUGAUUAGCAGAGUCAGUUUCUGCCAAACACUCUGGGCUAAAAACUGCACUUUUUUUUCAACUUUUUUGUUUUUUAAGUUUAUUUAUUCUCGAGAGAUAGAGAGGAGGAGACACAGAAUCUGAAGCAGGCUCCAGGCUCCGAGGUGUCAGCACAGAGCCCGACAUGGACUCGAACUCACGAACUUCAAGACCAUGACCUGAGCCAAAGCCAGAGGCUUAACCGACUGAGCCACCCAGGUGCCCCGUAAAAACUGCAUUUCUAAUCCCCACAAACUCUUUUGAUUUGGACACAUCUCCUGUCCUAAUAUCUAUAUCAAUACUUUGGACAGAUUGUUAAGCUACCUGGGAGAUAAACAUUCACUCACAUUUUGUUUGGUAUCUACUAGCAGGUUUUCUGAUCUGUUGGUCUAUGGUGUCUUGUAAGGUAACCACGUGCUAGCCACAUGUAACUAUUUACAUUUAAAUAGAAAUUAAAGUUGCUUAUUUGCACUAGCCAACUUUCAAGUGCCCAAGAGCUACAUAUGAUCAGUGGCUCCGGUAUUGGACAGCACAGAAUUAGAAUAUUUCCAUCAUCUCAGCAAGUUCUAUUGAACAGCAAUUGGUCCAAGGCCUUUCCAAAACACUUGUUCAAAAAUAGACUAAAGGUUGAGAUACUUUCUUUUGAAGGUUGUUGAAUAAAGACAAAAUGAAGUUUGCAGUACAAAAAAGAAUUAUUUGAAGAAUGGAGAUUAAAUAUGUCUUCCAUAAGAAUAAAACUAAAUUAAAAAAUUAUGGUGAGGAUAAUUACAAUGCUUUGAGAAAGAGUGCAUAUAGAUGCAUAUAGAGACUAAUAGACAUUCAGUAUCUUAAUUUUUCCUUUGAUGAUUAAGAGAUCCUUUCCCACAGUGCUCUUCCUUUAGGACAUUGAGGAAUUAAAUUAUAGUGUUAGUUUCCUAAGUAAUUUCAGGGGCUCUCGACUCAUUCUCACUCAUUUUAGAGCUAAGAGGAUUGUCCAGAAUACAUAGGUCACUUUCUAGGUCACACAGCUCAACUACCUACAGAAACAACAUGAGAACAACACACAUCUCCUAAAGUCUUAAUCUGAAUAGUUGUUCUCUGUUGGACAAGGUAUAUUCAGGACAUCUACCUCAAAAUCUUUCCUUGAGUAUUAUCUCAACCAAAGAUAUUCAAAUUAGAGCCUUCUGGGAUUCAGCCUUUCCUGCCUCCAAUGAAAUGGGUAAUUGUGUAACUGCCAUUUAACAUGUAUCCGGAUUUCUCUAAAGGCCAGAGAAAGGGAAAUCAGCCCCCUAGAGUUAAUAACUACGACUGACCCUGAACUGUCUGAAUCUCCUCCUCUGAAAUUUCAAGUCCCUAUCCACUUUCCCAAGCAUUUGAGGAAAUUAAGUCAUCUUUUGCUGGUGUAUUUGUUCAGGUAAGUGUCUUCAGAGCUAAAAUAAUGGAUUGCAUAAGAUGGAAAAAUAAAUAUAUUGGUAGAAUUCUUUAUGAUGUAUAUUAUAAGCAGGAACCAGAGAGAGCAUUAACUAUUUUAUAGGAAAGGUUGUGGGUGAGGAAGAGCAAAAUUGUCAAGUGUAUAAACCUGCAUUUAAUUAGGUCAGUUUCUAAGAGUCACAUUCAUACGUAUGUAAGUAAAUAUAUAUUUUUGUCCUUCAGGCCUAAAUCUGCCAGGUCUUCAGUUCCGGGACUGACUCAGGACAGUCUUAAGUUUUACAUUUCCUUAAGUGGUUUAGUAUGGGCUUGGCCAAAAUCUCCCUGCCUGCCUGCCAAGUCUCCCUGUCUGUUACACAUUUGAUGGCUUCCUUCUGGGGCUUGCUAACUUCUGCUGUCUGACAAAUGAAUUAACAACAGGAUAUCAUCAGAGUGGUUCCUAGAUAAUUAAUGUCCAUUUGACAUUUCAGGGAGUUUAUGCAUUGAAAGACAUUUGCUUCUAAUGUAUACUUCUCAGCUGUGCUUGGAAUUUUUUUCAGCUCCUUUUUACAACGUUUUUGGAAUAAUACUCGGGUUUCCUCUCCCAGGCUAAAUCAAAUUUCAUGUACUUUGCUUACCUUCUUUCACGAUUCCUCGUCUCCUUUCCCAAUGCUCUCACUGAUUCUAAAGUGGGUCAUUACUGGCCUUUAAGACCUACUGCUCCACUCAAUUUUAUAUGUUUUUUUUUUUUUAACUUUUUCCUGAGCAGGUUAAACCAGUGCUCUGUGCUUGAGAUGGUCGGCAGUACUACACUCAGAGUGGAAGUCAUUCCCUCUAGGAGACUGGAGAUCUCAAUUUUCAGAGAAAAUCAGAAUACAGGGAUAGUUUACUUUCUGAGAAAUGGUAGAACCAAACUGAAAUUAUUUUUUUUUAUAAAGGAUUUCUGAUACUGUUUACCACCUUUUCAGAACAGAAUCCAGGUAAGGUAAUGCUUAAGUAACAAAAACUUAUUUCCAUACCCAUCCUCUUUAAUUCACCUGUAAACAUGUUGUUUUCCAAACAAAUGUAGAUAUUUAUAUCUUUGGGUCCCAAGCCUGGAUUUUGAGAUGUCUUUUGCUAAUUUUCCUUAGCAUCUCUUACAUAGUCUUGGAUACAUCAGUCUAUUUGCUGAAAAUAAAGCUUUUCCUGCAAGUCCUUGAACUAUACUAUACAUAGGAGAGGGGUAGACAGUGACAGUUACAAGCCCAGAAUAUUGAUUUAGAUUGCUUGGAUCCUAAUCUCCACUGUUACUUACUUAUCUCUCCACUUCAGUUUUCUCAUCUGUAAAAUAGACAUAAUAAUAGAACCUCCUUUAUUGGAUGUUAAGAUUGAAAAUGAAAAUCUAAAGUGAGAGAUUAGAAACAUUAAAUAUUUUAUUAUAAAACUUAAUAGUUUAUUAUCAUAAAUGUGAAGUCUGUCUUUAGUAGCCUUGUCCAAUAACUGAUGCAAGUGUUUUUUGUCUUCUAGGAAGCCUAGAGCAUUCGAAGUCCACUUACAAUUAAUAUUUCCCUCUUUGAAGACAAGAUGAAUUAGAAUGACGGAGAAUGGAGUGAGCACAGAGUAUCUACAACAAACACUUCUCUUUGGAGAAGACUUGGAAUGGGGAACACAAACCUCAAUGAUCUGGCCAUCUCCAUUUUUUUUGACAAGAGGAUCCAUGAAAUCCUAUUGAAAUAAAGCUUAGAUGACCUCUUCAGUUGGAUUCCUAGGAAAUAAAACCUGAGACAAGUGUUCAUGUGAAAAUCAUUCAAUAGCAUAACAAUUCCGGCAGGCCAAGGGCAGCAUGUCAUAAAAGGAUGCAGAUGUUGGCUGCAGGGAGGGGAAGCAGUCCUGGAGUUCGUGUGCACUAAAAAGAUUUCAGCCUUUAUAGUAUGAGCAAUCUUGUAUUUAAUACGAGGCAUUGCAAUAGAAACAAAAGAAGAAUGAAGGGAAAGUGUUGGAGCAGACUAUAACACCAGUCUGAGUCCUGAGGGCAACAACGGUCCAGAAGAUUUCUAGAUGCCUGGCUCAAAACAUCUUUUGAUGUUUCAGUGUCUCUGAUGAUGUCAUCAUGUGUUCAGCCUGAAUAAUGUCAAAGGACUAACCGCCCAUCCAGCUAUGUUAUCUUCAAUUUGCUUCUUUAUAUCAAGGAGAAAACUUGUGACUAAAAUAGAAAUUUAAAAAGUUCUAUGUUCUGGAGCAUCAAGAUCUAAUGCGGUAUGCCUUUGCAAAGUUUGCAUAGAGUAUUCAACAAAACUGUUUUAAUGUUCUUUUACUGAGCGCACAGUUCAACAGUGGACUAAUUUGCCUUAAAGGGAUAAGCCUCUACUAAUAUUUUGCUCAGCCUCUGAACAUUGGCAUCCCGCUGAUCCAUUUCUUCCUCAACCCUAGGAUAGCCCGGAAGAAAUGCUGGUCACCUGUUUCCUCUGUGAGGGAGUUUGGCUCCUCAGAGGCCAUUUGGCUUAUCUGUUAACUACAGUACAAUCAUGGGUGGGAAGAACAUUCCUUAGCAGCCAAUCACGGUUCCUAAGAAUGAGAUUUGAAGGACUGCUCAGCUUUCUCACUCUUCUCUAAAUUUGGUCGGAUCUUCUUCCAGUGGAGACAAAAAGGACUUGUUAAUUUCAUCCUGUCAAGGGAGUCUCAGGCUAGCUGCCAUACUCCUUUGUGUUCUCUUUUCAGUUACUCUUGCCAUAGGUAUCAAUAACACAGUUUUUGAAAAUUUGAGCUGGAAUUUUUUUUUUCAAAUACAGAAAUGUUUCCAUCUCAGAAGAUUCAUCAUUUGGCCACUGACAAGAGGAACUUCCAUUAAUCCCAAUGGCAAUUUAAACCAGUAACCCUUGAUUUAUGACUGCAAGAAGCAUCCCAAAAGGUACAACAGAUGCACCCUUCACAAGAUUCAGGAUAUUCACUUCCUGUAUCAGCCUAAGAAAGUUAAGACCUUCAAUGACCCAGGCAGCAAGAAUGGUAUAGAGAAAAUGGUAUCUCUGUUUUUCCCGUAGGAAUGGGAGAUGACUCCACUCAUAGACCUGCUCAUCUGUGACACUGGGCAGGCAUUGUUGGAUUGGGACUUUUCUAGCACUAACAGGACACAAAUGUUGAGUCAACAAAAGCCCCUUAUGGAAGUUGACCCCUUAAGAUAUGCUCCCCUCCAAGUUGGCAUACUUAGAGGAUGCUGCUUUUUGGAUUCACAACCUAUUCAUCUGUCUGCCAGAUGCAUGCCAACACUAGCAUAUUCUGACUGGCAGAGACCCAGAGGGAAUAUUCUCACUGGUCACAAAGCCAAGUGCUUGAGACAUAGUGUAAGAUGAGAAGAAAACCCAUCUGGCUUAUUGUUUCCUCCUUAUGACAACACAGAAGACCAAAGAACUCAAUGGCUGUCUCCUAGAGGAAAAAGAAUCAGUAGAAAAUAAGAAUAUUCACUGAGCAGGGAAAGAAUGGUAAGGAGGCAGGUAGGCAGAAGCUUGGAUUUACUGCCGCUGCUCGUGGGACUGUGACACAUGUGAGGCUCCUUAGGUAGAGGGGCCCAAGGAUGGUGACAGAGAAAUCUACUCAGAAAUUGAAAUUACCAUAAUAAAGUACCCAUGUCUGAAGCCUUCAGGUGAGCUCACCAUAUAAUUCAGCAUGGCUGAGUUGCAGAUGUGAGAAAUUUACCGUUAGUCUACCUUUAGACGCCAUAACCAGGGGAAGUUCACUGUUUUUGAAUGAAUUUUUUUUUUUACUUUUUAAAAAAAGUUUAUUUAUUUUUGAGAGAGAGAGAGAGGAGACAGAGAUCCGAAACAGGCUCCAGGCUCUGAGUUUAAU